rnacentral:lncRNA from 1 species
CCUGGCCUGUGGAGAGUAAACCCACCCACCCACACAGUGUGAAAUCCACAUCCCCUGUGCAGUGAGGUCACAGGAGACGAAAGCAGGAUUGUGCAGUCAGAGGGAUGGAGGACAGGAGGCACUUGCCUCCAGAUGGAGGUGGCAAUGCCAAGCGCUCCGCCUCAGCAGAGUGCGACACAGAGGAUAGAGUGGUCAGGAAGGAGCAGGGUGACCCUGAGACCUCGACACAAAUGCGUGUGAGAAAAGAUGAUCUCUGUGAUGUCCCUCGCAAGGUGCCUCGUUUCCAGUAUGUGGAUUUCCCUUCUCUGCACCAGUGCAUCCAACAGCUUUCUGUGCCUCCGCUCAAUGGUUGGCUGGGAUCCUGCUCGUUGACAAAGGCACCAGACUACAGGCCCACCAGUCCUAAGGAAAAGGUUCCCAAGUUUAAAUAUGUGGACUACCCAUCUCUCCACCACUGCAUUCAGCAGCUGUCUGUGCCCCCUUUAGAAAGCUGGAGUGCAGGGCUCGUCAGGUUUAAUGCAGAGGGGAAACAAGAUGACUCUGGGACUGUGAAGAAUAACCUAAGGAACGAGGCAAGAGAUCAAAACAACGAGAACAGGAAUAGAGUUACAGCAUUUUCUUUCCCAAGAGACACACACACCUCAGUCUCAGGUAAGGAGGAGAGUCCUCAACACGACUACACUUCAGAGGUGCCACAGAGGUUAGAGAAAGGUAAUGCACCUCUAAGGUUCUGUUCUACUAAACCAGAAGCUGCUUUACAAUCAGUUUGCGGAUCUAGAUCAGAAUCUGGUUCUGGAUCUGAUAGCGACGCAACAUUGGGGAGAAACAACAGACCAUCGGUUAUUAACAUGGUGUACACAGAUAAGCAGAAGCGCUGGACAAAGGCAGGUCACCUGGAAGAACAGCUGAACUCUCCUGAUUCAGUCAGACGGGUACCGUGGAAUACCCUCCCAGAGUCAGUCUGCCCAUUCUGCCAACAGAUGUUCACAAACCCUGAGCAGUUCAGGGCUCAUCAGCGGAGCCAUAGAGAUAAGAGACCAAACUGA